CGGAGGAAAAGAAACCAACAGGGAUUGCCUCAGUAGCGGCGAGUGAAGCGGCAAAAGCUCAAAUUUGAAAUCUGGCGUGGACCACGCCCGAGUUGUAAUUUGAAGAAGGUAUCUUUGGGCCCGGCUCUUGUCUAUGUUCCUUGGAACAGGACGUCACAGAGGGUGAGAAUCCCGUGCGAUGGGAGUUUCGGGACCGUGUAAAGUUCCUUCGACGAGUCGAGUUGUUUGGGAAUGCAGCUCUAAGUGGGUGGUAAAUUCCAUCUAAAGCUAAAUAUUGGCGAGAGACCGAUAGCGAACAAGUACAGUGAUGGAAAGAUGAAAAGAACUUUGAAAAGAGAGUGAAAAAGUACGUGAAAUUGUUGAAAGGGAAGGGCUUGAGAUCAGACUUGGUAUGGAGUUAUGUCGUUCCGUAGCGGGGCGGCCUCUACGCUUUUCACCAGGCCAGCAUCGGUUUGUGC
rnacentral:rRNA from 1 species